AUGACUGACGGUCUCACACCUGCAAAAUCAUAAACAUUUCAUCAAAGAGAAAAAGCCCUCAAAGCUAGCAGUAUUUUCCCUUUUUCAAAUCAUCCACAGCUUUCACAGGCUUUGGCUGGGACAUCAAAUCAUCGAGACAUUUCAGAACAGGAGGAUAAAGACUGUUAACCUUGAGCUGCCACGGGGGAAGAGGAGCAGGAAUGGCCAUGGCUGUCAGUCCCGCUCCACUGUCAUGACAGCACUAAAAACUGAGCAGACCUUCACCUUUACCAAGUUUGAAGCGAACACUGUCUUGCGUCUGAUGUCAGGGCUUUCAACAAGAGGUCCUCCACGGGAUCUGGGGAUCUAUGAAUAAAACAGAAUUUUCUAAAGGUUUUGAAUCAUGACAUUUCCGAAUUCUAACUGAUAUUAUAUUAACUGAACAUUUGAUCCGUUGAAUUUUACUGUGUAGCAAUGCUAGUUUAUGUUUUCAUAAUUCAUAGGUUCAUCUAAUUUAUUAGAUUGGGAAUGUAUGUUAAUGAAUUGAUUACAAUAAAGUACUGGACAUAAGAAAAGUACUGUUUUUAUAUGGUUAAAGAAUAAAAAUCAACCAGGGAGCAAAAAUUGUCCCUAUAUGAAGAAGUUAAUUUCUCACACUGCUUAUGAUUCUGUGUUCAUCAUAGUGUGGAGGUCAUCUGUUCAUGCUGAAUGAGCAGAAUGAAUUCUCCACAAACAGAAGCUACAAAAGAUCUGGACUGCAGUGAAGGGGAGGGGAUUCGUCUAUGUGUCCUGUCUCAACAUUAAGCUCCAUCUGAAAAACAGCCCGCCAUGCCACCGCUGCCAAAGCCAGACAUCUUCCCCGUCACUCACUUGUCGGCAGGGAAAUGAAUCUGGAUGCAGCAUGUCCCCCAUUCAUCAGCCUUGACAGGCUACCUUUGCCUGGUUCCGCUCGGAUGGGGUCCCCGUCACUGCAGGCGCGAGAGCAUAUUUCUGCUGGAGAUGAAGAAAUUACUGUGUGUGCAGCGCUGUGAAGUGACUCGUGAGCGUAGUGUCAUUUGGUUGGGUAUUAAACAGCAUCAGGUUGCCCUCAUCUCACAAAUACUUCUAGAGGGCAAAUCCAAAGAUACGUUUUAUAUUGCAAUCUCUUUUUUUUUUUUUCAAUUCUUUCAUAUUAUAAUGUGUUGAUAUAACCUUGAACA